GCUGGGCAUGGUAGCGCAUGCCUGUAAUCCCAAUGGUUUGGGAGGCUGAGGCAGGAGGAUCAUGAUUCAAAGCCAGUCUCAGCAACUUAGCAAGACCCUAAGCAACUUAGUGAGACCCUGUCUCUA
rnacentral:sRNA from 1 species